GACACGAUGGCGGAGUGGUCUAACGCGUGAGACUUGAACGUAAAUCAUUCGUUCAGGGGGUUAUCUCAUAUCUUCGGAUGCGCAGGUUCGAAUCCUGCUCGUGUCG
rnacentral:tRNA from 1 species